CCUACGGGGGGCAGCAGUAGGGAAUCUUCGGCAAUGGGCGAAAGCCUGACCGAGCAACGCCGCGUGAAUGAAGAAGGCCUUCGGGUUGUAAAAUUCUGUUAUAAGGGAAGAAAGGUGAUAGGAGGAAAUGACUAUCAAUUGACGGUACCUUAUGAGAAAGCCACGGCUAACUACGUGCCAGCAGCCGCGGUAAUACGUAGGUGGCAAGCGUUAUCCGGAAUUAUUGGGCGUAAAGAGCGCGCAGGUGGUUAAUUAAGUCUGAUGUGAAAGCCCACGGCUUAACCGUGGAGGGUCAUUGGAAACUG
rnacentral:rRNA from 1 species